rnacentral:tRNA from 1 species
GCGUCCUUUGUCUGCGGAAGGCGAUCAGUCUGCAAAACUGUUUUCAGUGAGUUCAACUCUCACAGGACGCUCCA